rnacentral:rRNA from 1 species
GACGAACGCUGGCGGCGUGCUUAACACAUGCAAGUCGAACGGAAAGGCCCCUUUGGGGGUACUCGAGUGGCGCACGGGUGAGUAACACGUGAGUAACCUGCCCUUGACUUCGGGAUAACUUCAGGAAACUGGGGCUAAUACCGGAUAGGAAUCCUUGCUGCAUGGUGGGGGUUGGAAAGCUUCGGCGGUUUUGGAUGGACUCGCGGCUUAUCAGCUUGUUGGUGGGGUAGUGGCUUACCAAGGCUUUGACGGGUAGCCGGCCUGAGCGGGCGACCGGCCACAUUGGGACUGAGAUACGGCCCAGACUCCUACGGGAGGCAGCAGUGGGGAAUAUUGCACAAUGGGCGGAAGCCUGAUGCAGCAACGCCGCGUGCGGGAUGACGGCCUUCGGGUUGUAAACCGCUUUCAGCAGGGGCGAAGCUUGUGGUGACGGUACCUGCAGAAGAAGCACCGGCUAACUACGUG